CACGGGGGGAGCAAGCGUUGUUCGGAAUCACUGGGCGUAAAGGGCGUGUAGGCGGUCAGGUAAGUGAGACGUGAAAUGCCCCGGCUUACCCGGGGACCUGCGUCUCAUACUGCUUGGCUUGAGUACGGGAGAGGGUGUGGGAAUUCCUGGUGUAGCGGUGAAAUGCGUAGAUAUCGGGAGGAACACCAGUGGCGAAGGCGACUACCUGGCCUGUUUCUUGACGCUGAGGCGCGAAAGCUAGGGGAGCAAACGGG
rnacentral:rRNA from 1 species